UACGGAGGGGGCUAGCGUUGUUCGGAAUUACUGGGCGUAAAGCGCACGUAGGCGGAUGUGUCAGUCAGGGGUGAAAUCCCGGAGCUCAACUUCGGAACUGCCCUUGAUACAGCACGUCUUGAGUCCGGAAGAGGUGGGUGGAAUUCCUAGUGUAGAGGUGAAAUUCGUAGAUAUUAGGAAGAACACCGGUGGCGAAGGCGGCCCACUGGUCCGGUACUGACGCUGAGGUGCGAAAGCGUGGGGAGCAAACAGG
rnacentral:rRNA from 1 species